rnacentral:lncRNA from 1 species
AUGCUAAGAACGUGCUGGAAGUUGACAGUGUGUGCAAAGUCCCUGGUCCUGCCCCUGCAGAGACUGCACAGUCGGGGGCGCCUUCUUCCGGGAGUAACCUGUGCCCGCGCAAAGUCACACCACGCGGUUACUUGGUCUUUCGUUGCUGUCAGUUUUCAUGUGUGGCGAGACACCCGCACGACCACAUUGACGCGUAGUCCUAAGUGUAUCCGAAAGGUGUGCCCCGAACAACGGCAUGUUCCGUCUUGCAAAAUCGGACUCCUGUCCCCGAUCAACAACAGACAGGGCCUCGUCCCCGCCCCCGCAGCCCCAGGCGCCCCCGCGCUGCUCUCUGUCUCCGUGAAGCUGACGACCCGAGAGAGACUCAGGCGAGCGGAGUCAGACAGCGUUGUCUCUGCAUCACUGGCUUAUCUCUCUGCGCAUCCUGCCUCCGAGGCCCAGCCCGGCUGCAGCCUGUGCGAGAGGCCCUUCCUCUUCGAGGCGGGGCCGGGCUCCGCUGUGUGCGUGGACCACGCCGUGUUUACCAUCGUCCCCGGGGUGAAGCGGGCUGGCAGGCCAGGCUUGCUCACGGGACUAUUGCACGUCUGUGGGAAGAGAUGUGAGUUCAAGUGAAGGAAUGUGCGUGGGCACACUCGUGCGCCGAGAGCGGUGAUUAUGCUAACGAGCGUCCCGAGGAUGCGGCCCCACGGCUGCCGUCCUUCUGACUCAGGCUGAGCGGCCGCCUUCCGAGGUGCUGUCAGCUUUGCACGUGCUGUCCUUCAGCCCCAUUAUCUUCCCGUCUUGUUCGAGUGCAGUUGUUUUCCUGAGGCCUCAGGGUGGGAUUGAUUUACUGAGCCUGGUAAAUCCCAUCUGCUAGCUUCAGACUGUCAUUCUCACCUGCCGAGGUCAUUGUGGUUGUUGACUCUGUCAUCUGCCCUUCUGCCCUGCUCUCCUGGGUUUAUGUCCUCUUCAUAUUUGAUAUCUCUGUCCCUCCGUCCAUCCAUCCGUCUGUCCACCCAUCCGUCCAUCUGUCCGUCCGUCCAUCCGUCCCUCUGUCUGUCCAGCGACUUUCUAUAGUGUACCCUACUGUGUGCAGCCUCUGUGCUAAGCUCUGGGUACAGGGGUGAGCAGAACAGAAAGGAAUCUGGGUUCUCCUGGAGCUUUCACUGGGGUAGAGAAGACAGACACUAAACCAAGACGCACGGGUUACGGGGACGGCAUGGUACUGACAGGUGCCACAGAGAAAAGGGAAGCGGGGACGACGGAUGGGGUGGGGGCAGCCAGAGGAAACCGUGCGGAAGGGUGGUGUCCGCGCGGAGACUGGAGGGUGUUUCUAUCCAGUUCUUUGGAAAACACGGUGAAGAGGAACUCAGCCUCUCUGUAGGUUGACGUUGAUGCAGUAACUGGCACCUUUGGGGUUCACCUGACUUUCCACUGAAACUCUAUACCUUCAGUGUCUAACCUGCAUUUCUCCACACUCUUCUGUUUUUUUUUUUUUUUUUUUUUUUUUACUUUUUAGGGCUGCGUGUGCGGCAUAUGGAAGUUCCCAGGGUAGGGGCCGAAUCAGAGCUUCAGCUGCCGGCACCACAGCCACAGCAACACCAGAUCCAAGCCGCAUUUGUGACCUACACCA